GUUGGUUUUGUUAUUUUUGCGUUUUGUUGAUUUUUACUUUGCUUACAAUUCAUGUAUGUUGGGUUGCAUACAGUUUUUUUAGAAUACAAACCCAACAACUGCAUUUUUACAUAAAUAACCUCAAAAUACAACAAAAAAGUUGAAUUUCGACCCCGAAGCAAAGGAUUAUUUAUCGUCCUGGAAUCAAUUAAAUCCGAACGCAACCGAAACGUCAAAUGAUAAAUAACGUCAAUAAACGUAGACGGAGGUUGGCUAACCUGCCGGGAAUGCUCAGCAAAGGACACACAAGCCGGCGGACAUUUGAUGCGAAUCGGUUACCCAGCAAAAUCGAAACUUAAUUUAUGUAGAUAACUUCUGCGUGCUAGUUUAUGCGCAAGGAAAUUGUAAGGAUUCGCUCGGUUGCGGCAUCGUUUCGCGUUUCAAACGCGGAUCUGGAUCGCAAGUCGCUGCGAGCAUUUUCAAGGUGCUCCUUCAAUGAAGAAGACAAAGUCUAUUUGCUAGAUAUCGCCCAAAGCGUACAGCGUGCUUCUAAUUUCUAAAUGCGAUUUGGAUGAGCAUUUUAUCUUGACUUGACUCGAAUGCACGAGAA